rnacentral:rRNA from 1 species
UGAAACUAGAUACAAGCGAGCGGCGGACGGGUGAGUAACACGUGGGUAACCUGCCCAAGAGACUGGGAUAACACCUGGAAACAGAUGCUAAUACCGGAUAACAACACUAGACGCAUGUCUAGAGUUUGAAAGAUGGUUCUGCUAUCACUCUUGGAUGGACCUGCGGUGCAUUAGCUAGUUGGUAAGGUAACGGCUUACCAAGGCAAUGAUGCAUAGCCGAGUUGAGAGACUGAUCGGCCACAUUGGGACUGAGACACGGCCCAAACUCCUACGGGAGGCAGCAGUAGGGAAUCUUCCACAAUGGACGAAAGUCUGAUGGAGCAACGCCGCGUGAGUGAAGAAGGGUUUCGGCUCGUAAAGCUCUGUUGGUAGUGAAGAAAGAUAGAGGUAGUAACUGGCCUUUAUUUGACGGUAAUUACUUAGAAAGUCACGGCUAACUACGUGCCAGCAGCCGCGGUAAUACGUAGGUGGCAAGCGUUGUCCGGAUUUAUUGGGCGUAAAGCGAGUGCAGGCGGUUCAAUAAGUCUGAUGUGAAAGCCUUCGGCUCAACCGGAGAAUUGCAUCAGAAACUGUUGAACUUGAGUGCAGAAGAGGAGAGUGGAACUCCAUGUGCAGCGGUGGAAUGCGUAGAUAUAUGGAAGAACACCAGUGGCGAAGGCGGCUCUCUGGUCUGCAACUGACGCUGAGGCUCGAAAGCAUGGGUAGCGAACAGGAUUAGAUACCCUGGUAGUCCAUGCCGUAAACGAUGAGUGCUAAGUGUUGGGAGGUUUUCCGCCUCUCAGUGCUGCAGCUAACGCAUUAAGCACUCCGCCUGGGGAGUACGACCGCAAAGGUUUGAAAACUCAAAGGAAAUUGACGGGGGGCCCGCCACAAGCGGGUGGAGCAUGUGGUUUUAAUUC